UAAUUUAACAUUCCGUUUCCCUAAUUGAACCUUCCUUUACCUCUCAUUCUGACUGAUUUUUCCCUACUGAUAAGCAGGUUUAAUUUAGCUCCCUAUUUGGAAAAUAUGUGUUAAAUCAACCUGUCCUACGCCUUAAUUUAGUACAGAUUCAACCAGUACAUGUAAGACAUGCUAGACUAUAUGAUUUGCUUUGAUUUAAGAAGGCUUACUUGAGCUCUAUUUAUUUACUAGCCUUCCAAUACUUGCUGUAUAUGUUUUUUAAUAUCGGCUUAGAAUCUUAUCUUUUGAAAACACUCAAAAGGCCCCAACCCUCUCUUCUUUAGGAUUAGUAGUCCCAUAUUUCUCAGGGGCUGAUAGGAUUGGGACGAGUAGUAGCAUGCAAUUAGUAACAAUGCUAUUACGUGCUUUAAUACCUUAACGGGGUAGGAAGGGUAGAAUGUGGAUAUGAUGACCGAUAUGAUAAUAUCAC
rnacentral:lncRNA from 1 species